rnacentral:tRNA from 1 species
GCCCUAGUAGCUUAAUACCAAAGCACCGGUUUUGUAAUCCGGAGACCGGAGGCUAAAUUCCUCCCUAGCGCC